rnacentral:rRNA from 1 species
CGAUGAAGCCCUUCGGGGUGGAUUAGUGGCGAACGGGUGAGUAACACGUGGGCAAUCUGCCCUGCACUCUGGGACAAGCCCUGGAAACGGGGUCUAAUACCGGAUAUGACCACUUCCGGCAUCCGUGGUGGUGGAAAGCUCCGGCGGUGCAGGAUGAGCCCGCGGCCUAUCAGCUUGUUGGUGAGGUAGUGGCUCACCAAGGCGACGACGGGUAGCCGGCCUGAGAGGGCGACCGGCCACACUGGGACUGAGACACGGCCCAGACUCCUACGGGAGGCAGCAGUGGGGAAUAUUGCACAAUGGGCGCAAGCCUGAUGCAGCGACGCCGCGUGAGGGAUGACGGCCUUCGGGUUGUAAACCUCUUUCAGCAGGGAAGAAGCGCAAGUGACGGUACCUGCAGAAGAAGCGCCGGCUAACUACGUGCCAGCAGCCGCGGUAAUACGUAGGGCGCAAGCGUUGUCCGGAAUUAUUGGGCGUAAAGAGCUCGUAGGCGGCUUGUCGCGUCGGUUGUGAAAGCCCGGGGCUUAACCCCGGGUCUGCAGUCGAUACGGGCAGGCUAGAGUUCGGUAGGGGAGAUCGGAAUUCCUGGUGUAGCGGUGAAAUGCGCAGAUAUCAGGAGGAACACCGGUGGCGAAGGCGGAUCUCUGGGCCGAUACUGACGCUGAGGAGCGAAAGCGUGGGGAGCGAACAGGAUUAGAUACCCUGGUAGUCCACGCCGUAAACGGUGGGCACUAGGUGUGGGCAACAUUCCACGUUGUCCGUGCCGCAGCUAACGCAUUAAGUGCCCCGCCUGGGGAGUACGGCC